rnacentral:snRNA from 1 species
AUACUUACCUGGAGGGGAGAUACCAUGAUCACGAAGGUGGUUUUCCCAGGACGAGGCUUAUCCAUUGCACUCCGGAUGUGCUGACCCCUGCAAUUUCCCCAAAUGCGGGAAACUCGACUGCAUAGUUUGUGGUAGUGGGGGACUGCGUUUGCGCUUUCCCUUG